AGAAAUAUAAAGUAGCUAAUUUGGAAUCAUGAGCAUCAAUCAUCAAAGUCUUUUGCCACCUAUACUAGGGACAGCAAGCAAACAUAGUUUAUUAUUGAGCCGCCGAUUCAACCAAUUUAUUACAAUUUUGUUGAACUCAAUGAUUUUGUAGGUUAACCUGUGUUUGUCUUGAUCACCAAAUUUAUAAUUCAAUUGAUCCAGCUUGUCAUAUUAAACCGAUUUUUAAAACAUUGAUCUAUACCGUAAAUAUCAUGAUUCAGCCCACUAUACUUAUUGGUGCUCAAAUCAUCGGUCCAAAAUACUUAAAUUUAAUUAUUAUUGCUACGUAUUCUUGAUUCUUAAAUAUUUAUUCACAGCUUCUUUUCGAUUGGAUG
rnacentral:lncRNA from 1 species